AUUGAACGCUGGCGGCAGGCCUAACACAUGCAAGUCGAGCGGAUGAAGGGAGCUUGCUCCUGGAUUCAGCGGCGGACGGGUGAGUAAUGCCUAGGAAUCUGCCUGGCAGUGGGGGAUAACGUCCGGAAACGGGCGCUAAUACCGCAUACGUCCUGAGGGAGAAAGUGGGGGAUCUUCGGACCUCACGCUAUCAGAUGAGCCUAGGUCGGAUUAGCUAGUUGGUGGGGUAAAGGCCUACCAAGGCGACGAUCCGUAACUGGUCUGAGAGGAUGAUCAGUCACACUGGAACUGAGACACGGUCCAGACUACUACGGGAGGCAGCAGUGGGGAAUAUUGGGCAAUGGGCGAAAGCCUGAUCCAGCCAUGCCGCGUGUGUGAAGAAGGUCUUCGGAUUGUAAAGCACUUUAAGUUGGGAGGAAGGGCAGUAAGUUAAUACCUUGCUGUUUUGACGUUACCAACAGAAUAAGCACCGGCUAACUUCGUG
rnacentral:rRNA from 1 species